rnacentral:rRNA from 1 species
CCCUACGGGGUGCAGCAGGUGUCUUCCUCAGAAGCGAAGUUGAGGUCCACGAUGGCGUGGUGCUGGGGGAUGCCCAGGCGUCGUUGACGUCGUCGCACCUGCUCCAGUUGGGUUUCGGUCAGCUUGCCUUGCUCCAGCAAGAGGUCGCCGACUUCGCGCAGGCCAGGGUCCGGAGUGGGGGUCAUUUGAUCGGCACUUCGAUUUCCCGGCUGGUGUUCAGCGGGAGCACAUUGGUGAUGGCUUGGGGGUUGGUCAAGACGAGCGAGACCAUGGAGGCCUGGGCCGCAUAGAGGUUCGCGGUGAGGCUCGAUCCGAUGGGAGCAACCAGGAACGCGUCGCCCAUUUUGACGACCGCGCGCUUGGGGCCUUCGCCGGCCUCAUAGAAUCCCGGGUAGGUCAACUGGAUCUUGCGGGUGGUCGGAGCGGGGGGGC